UACGUAGGGUGCAAGCGUUAUCCGGAUUCACUGGGUUUAAAGGGUGCGUAGGUGGAUUAGUAAGUCAGUGGUGAAAUCUCCGGGCUUAACCCGGAAACUGCCAUUGAUACUAUUAGUCUUGAAUACCGUGGAGGUCAGCGGAAUAUGUCAUGUAGCGGUGAAAUGCUUAGAUAUGACAUAGAACACCAAUUGCGAAGGCAGCUGGCUACACGAGCAUUGACACUCAGGCACGAAAGCGUGGGGAUCAAACAGG
rnacentral:rRNA from 1 species